rnacentral:ncRNA from 1 species
AAUGAAUAUAACCCAGAUUAACGAAUCUAAGUGUAACAAUACCAGUAAUUGACCCAUCUUUUGAUCAACGGAAAAAAGUUACCCCAGGGAUAACAGUGCAAUCCUAUUUGAGAGCCCAUAUUGAAAAUUAGGGUUAUGACCUCGAUGUUGGAUCAGGACACCCAAAUGGUGCAACCGCUAUUAAAGGUUCGUUUGUUCAACAAUUAAAGUCCUACGUGAUCUGAGUUCAGACCGGAGAAAUCCAGGUCAGUUCUAUCUGUAAAUUCAUUUCUCCCAGUACGAAAGGACAAGAGAAAUAGGGCCAACAUCCCCAAUAAGCCCUAGAGCCAACAUAUGAAUCAAUCUAAAUGUACUAAAUCAAUUUAUGUGCCCCCAAGAACAGGGUUGUUAAGAUGGCAGAGCUGGUAAUUGCAUAAAGUUUAAGCCUU